UUUUUUUUUUUUUAGAUCAUUAAGGCAAAGGCACCACGCGUCAGGCGGUGGUCGGCAGGCAGGGUUGGGGAGCCUGCCUGAAAGAGGACCGAGGGGCCUACAGACAUUAAAGUUUGGGAAGUGGCAAGGACAGCGCCUGGUGCAGGGUAACGGCCACGCAGGCCAGCGUCGGCUGCCGUGAUCAGGAUGGUCUUAAACAGGAGGUCUGGCCGCCUCCCUGAGGGUCACGAUAUUGCCAGCAGUGGCCCGUGCAAAGGCCCUGGGGUUGGAGGCAACAGGAGGGAAAGAAGCCAGGGAAGGUGGUCAGAGUGGAGAAGGGACCAGCAGGUGGGGGGCUCUAGGCCUUGGGGGUGGCGAGAGCGGUUCUUCUCCAGGCCCCCAGGGGGCAGCAUGGGCCACAGGGAGCCGACCUGGGUGCCCGGUUCCCCAGCUGUGAGAGACCCAAGUCCUGGCCAGUCCGGAAACUCCAGUCUCCCCGGUUACCAGCUUUGUGCACACCAUUUAUUGAGCAAUUACUAUGUGCCCAGCCCCGUGCUGGGGGGCUCAGGGCCACCACAUCCCCGGGAGGAGAGGGUGAUGCCCCCGCCCCCAGCGUCCAGGGGAAGUGGCCUCGGCCGUUUCCUGCCACCCAGCUGGCCAGCUGGUGUCAGCACGCCCCUCCGCCUUCCCCCCCACCGGGGUUUCCUGUUUGUGCAGCACUCGCCCAGCUCCAUCUCCAGGGGACUCCCUGGCGGGUGGGAGGAAGUGCUUUCCUCUGCCAGACGCUGGAGCUCCCCAUGGGACCAGGCCAAACGUCGCUGCCCCCGCCUGCCUUGAACAUCUGGCUUGGAGGCAGGCGCCUGAGGAUCACAGGAGGCCAAGGAGGACUCAGGGUCACAGCCGGCCCGUGGUCAAACCCCAAGGUGGUGGGAGUCACGGCCAGACGCCAAAGAAGGAGAAUCAGCCCCUUCCACCUGCCACGUUCCAAAGCCAGGCAUGACCGCCGUGUGCCCUCAGGCAAGUUGCUUAACUGUUCUGAGCCUCACUUCUCUCUUUCAAAUGGGUGUGGGCGUCACCGAGAGGUGGUAAAGAGGUAAUACGGACGGACGGACGGGUCGGGAGCCCCGUAGGGCACACCCAAAUCGAGUUCGAGCCCCGGAUCCGGUUCAGCGUGGACGGCGUGGAGCCCGCUUGGGAUUCUCUGUUUCCCUCCCUCUCUCUCUCUCUCUCAAAAUAAAUAAACUUAAAAGAAUAUUUUAAAUCCCUAAAA